AGUGGUCAUGCUACUUUCUGCCAAGGUGAUGGAGCCAAAGAACAGAAUUUUGGGGCUGGGGAAUACCUAUGUCUACUUGACCUAAUGGCACAUGGAAGAAGGAGUGGGCUAGGUGGGCACAUGAAUAGAUUCUGCCAACAGAAAUAAGAUGAGAGCUGGAUUAUUACAACAUGGUCUGAUUAGGUUUGACAACUUCAGCCUCUGGGAGCUUCCUUGACGCCCUCCUGCCUCCAAGUCUGAGCUCCUCCGGAUCUGCCUUGCCUCUCUUUCCUGGCUGCUAACCAACAACAUUAAAACAGGCAGCAGAGUGCAGCAGGACGGGUUUGACCCCUAAAAGCCACUGGAAUCUAAUUUGGAACAGUGGCAUACAAAAGGACUUAUUAAGUCAUAUUGAACAGAAGGUGGCUCUGAUAUGAUUUGCUGCCCCAAUCCCUCACCAAAGGAAGAAGGAAAUCAGAGGACUUAACUGGACUUCCCUAGUGGCGCAGUGGUUAAGAAUCUGCCUGCCAAUUCAGGCGACACGGGUUCAAGGUCUGGUCUGGGAAGAACCCACAUGCCGCGGGGCAGCUAAGCCCGUGCGCCACAACUACUGAGCCUGCGCUCUAGAGCCCGCGAGCCACAACUACUGAGCCCAUGCGCCACAACUACUGAAGCCUGCGCGCCUAGAGUCCAUGCACCUCAACAAAAGAAGCCACCGCAAUGAGAAGACCGCACGCCGCAACGAAGAGUAGCCCCCGCUCGCCACAACUAGAGAAAGCCCGUGUGCAGCAACGAAGACCCAACGCAGCCAAAAAUAAAAAUAAAUUAAUUUAAAAAACAAUUAUAAUUCUUUUCCAAACAUUUCAU